CGAAAUGCGAUAAGUAAUGUGAAUUGCAGAAUUCAGUGAAUCAUCGAAUCUUUGAACGCACCUUGCGCUCCUUGGUAUUCCUUGGAGCAUGCCUGUUUGAGUAUCAUGAAAUCUUCAAAGUAAAUCUUUUGUUAACUCAAUUGGUUUCUACUUUGGUAUUGGAGGUCUUUGCAGCUUCACACCUGCUCCUCUUUGUUCAUUAGCUGGAUCUCAGUGUUAUGCUUGAUUCCACUCGGCGUGAUAAGUUAUCUAUCGCUGAGGACACUGUAAAAGGUGGCCAAGGUAAAUGCAGAUGAACCGCUUCUAAUAGUCCAUUGACUUGGACAAUACUUUUAUGAUCUGAUCUCAAAUCAGGUAGGACUACCCGCUGAACUUAAGC
rnacentral:misc_RNA from 1 species